GGAGCUAGGAUUACGUUUAGACUUUACGGUUUAGGAGCUAGGGUUACGUUUAGGCAUUACGGUUUAGGAGCUAGGGUUAUGUUUAGGCAUUACAGUUAAUAGUUAGGUACUUAAUUUUUUUUUUCUCCUGAACUUAACUUUAUGAUAAUAAAUUACCAGCCGUUACUUUUACAGUAAUACCUAUGUGUUUGACAUUCAGAGCUCAACCAUCCAAUCCCAAAGACAGAGCCAGAUGGUCAUGCGUUAUCUUCACCUCCCUCUACAGGUGUUGAGGCUGUCCUCCUCACCUCACACACUCUCCCCGCCAAGGUUACACUCUGGCCAUCUGUAUGGAGCCUCUUUAGGGUAACCAUCCCUCGUUGUCUGUUUGAGACACUAUAGACAGUAUGGUGCCAUUUUAGACCAACAAAGAACAAUUGCUAUGGUCUCAUCCUCUUAACACUAUGGCAGGAAAACCUUCCCAGUGGCUGCCUUACAACUCUGGUGUCCGACAGCCAUCAGAGAUCCAGGGCGGGAGGAUUUCAUGGCUAACUUAGGAUAUGCAGGAGAAAUGUUGUGUUGCAGCAAAGCUGAGUGAGUUCUGUUUGGAGUGUAACUGCCUUCAGGACUCAGGAUUCA
ensembl:lncRNA